rnacentral:rRNA from 1 species
AUGACCACGACACUUUAGAAUGUUUCCAUGAUCCUUGCACUUCCUAUCGAGGGGAAGCCUUUGUGUAUGAGAACCGAUUAUGAGGGGUGGCGCCAGCAGAUGGAGGCCCUUAUUGGUAUGGCUCCUGCAAAGGCACCAUCCGAUGGAGACAAGAAAGAAAGAGUCGUUGUCGGCGCUCCUUACACAUGGAUCGUAGCAAACUUUGUGCAUUGCCCUAAGGAUGCUAAUAAUGUUAUCUGGGACUCUCUUUGCUGA